UGCCGGACCUGACUGCUAUCGGAGGGAGAUUAAGCCAUGCGAGUCGAACGUUUUCUGAUUGUGGAAAGCGUGGCGUACGGCUCAGUAACACGUAGUUAAUCUGCCCUGAGGACAUGGAUAACCCCGGGAAACUGGGACUAAUACAUGGUAAAUUAUUACAUCUGGAAUGAGUUUUAAUUUAAAGGAUUGGGUAAGCAUGUUUAUCCUUUCGCCUCAGGAUGAGGCUGCGGCCGAUCAGGUUGUUGGUGGGGUAAUGGCCCACCAAGCCUAUAACCGGUACGGGCUUUGGGAGAAGUAGCCCGGAGAUGGACACUGAGAAAAGGGUCUAGGUCCUAUGGGGCGCAGCAGGCGCGAAAACUUCGCAAUGUGCGAAAGCAUGACGAGGUUACUCCGAGUGUCAUCCGCUGAGGGUGACUUUUACUAGGCAUAAAUUACCUAGAGAAUAAGGGGAGGGCAAGUCUGGUGUCAGCCGCCGCGGUAAUACCAGCUCCCCGAGUGGUUGGGACGUUUAUUGGGCCUAAAGCAUCCGUAGCCGGUCUUGUAGGUCUUCUGUUAAAUUCAAUAGCUCAACUAUUGAGCCGCAGGAGAUACCGCAGGACUAGGAGGCGGGGGAGGUGGACGGUACUCAAUGGGUAGGGGUAAAAUCCUUUGAUCCAUUGAAGACCACCAGUGGCGAAGGCGGUCCACCACAACGCGCUCGACGGUGAGGGAUGAAAGCUGGGGGAGCGAACCGGAUUAGAUACCCGGG
rnacentral:rRNA from 1 species